rnacentral:rRNA from 1 species
AGCGAACGCUGGCGGCAGGCCUAACACAUGCAAGUCGAACGAAGUCUUCGGACUUAGUGGCGGGCGGGUGAGUAACACGUGGGAACGUACCUUUUGGUUCGGAACAACUCAGGGAAACUUGAGCUAAUACCGGAUGAGCCCUUAGGGGGAAAGAUUUAUCGCCGAAAGAGCGGCCCGCGUUAGAUUAGCUAGUUGGUGAGGUAAAGGAUCACCAAGGCUACGAUCUAUAGCUGGUCUGAGAGGAUGAUCAGUCAUACUGGGACUGAGACACGGCCCAGACUCCUACGGGAGGCAGCAGUGGGGAAUCUUGCGCAAUGGGCGAAAGCCUGACGCAGCCAUGCCGCGUGAAUGAUGAAGGUCUUAGGAUUGUAAAAUUCUUUUACCAGGGACGAUAAUGACGGUACCUGGAGAAAAAGCCCCGGCUAACUUCGUGCCAGCCGCCGCCGUAACAC